CCUGGCUCUCCUUUGCCUUUGUGAAGGUGGCUUAAAGAUUUAAAAUAAAAUUAUAAACCACACCACUAAAAACAACAGAGUUAAUGAUAGAACCUCACACCACACCCCUUUCUAUGCUAGGAUUUUAUUUUGUUUUAUUUUGCCUGGCUUGAGCUUGUUGUACUAAAACUUAGGUGAGUUAUAGCUUCUUCCUUUCCCUUCUGGCAGCUUCUGCUCAUAUCCAGCAGUUUUUCUGAUUUGAUUUGAUCCAGAAUUGAUUUCCUGUGGUGUGUUUAUGAAGACUGUAACUGAAGAUUUUAGGAAAAGCAGUGUAAAAUGUUCAGAGAACAUCCACUGGUCUUGGGGUACCACUAACUGACUUUCGAAUACAGGCAGUGGUCUACCAUGGCUUACCAGAGUCUUUCACCUGUGUACUUCCCUAAACUCUGAGGAUGUUCAACACCUGAAUGACUGGAUCCUAGAGACCUGGGUGAACCUGACCAUGAUGAUCUACCCAUACCUGACCAUGAUGAUACCCAUACCUGACCAACUUUUUAAAGCUUUUGCCUUCUUGGCCUAUCAAGAGGGAGCUCCGCUUCCACCUGCUGUGUGACAUCACCCACUGUGGGAUCCCUG
rnacentral:lncRNA from 1 species